UAAUGGCUCACCAAGGCGACGAUCCCUAGCUGGUCUGAGAGGAUGAUCAGCCACACUGGAACUGAGACACGGUCCAGACUCCUACGGGAGGCAGCAGUGGGGAAUAUUGCACAAUGGGCGCAAGCCUGAUGCAGCCAUGCCGCGUGUGUGAAGAAGGCCUUCGGGUUGUAAAGCACUUUCAGUCGUGAGGAAGGUAGUGUAGUUAAUAGCUGCAUUAUUUGACGUUAGCGACAGAAGAAGCACCGGCUAACUCCGUGCCAGCAGCCGCGGUAAUACGGAGGGUGCGAGCGUUAAUCGGAAUUACUGGGCGUAAAGCGCAUGCAGGUGGUUUGUUAAGUCAGAUGUGAAAGCCCGGGGCUCAACCUCGGAAUUGCAUUUGAAACUGGCAGACUAGAGUACUGUAGAGGGGGGUAGAAUUUCAGGUGU
rnacentral:rRNA from 2 species